GCGACCAUACCAACAGUAAUAUACCUGAUCUCAUCAGAAUUCUGAAGUUAAGCAAGCUUGGACGAGAAUAUUACUAAAAUAGAUGAUCCCCCAAGAAGUCUACGUGUUGCACCCC